GGUUUGAUCCUGGCUCAGAUUGAACGCUGGCGGGAUGCUUUACACAUGCAAGUCGAACGGCAGCACGGACUUCGGUCUGGUGGCGAGUGGCGAACGGGUGAGUAAUGUAUCGGAACGUGCCUAGUAGCGGGGAUAACUACGCGGCGUAGCUAAUACCGCAUACGCCCUUCGAAGGGGAAAGCGGGGACCUUCGGGCCUCGCACUAUUAGAGCAGCCGAUAUCGGAUUAGCUAGUUGGUGGGAGUAACGGCUCACCAAGGCGACGAUCCGUAGCUGGUUUGAAAGAGGACGACCAGCCACACUGGGACUGAGACACGGCCCAGACUCCUACGAGCAGCGGUAGGGAAUUUUGGACAAUGGGGAAACCUGAUCCAGCCAUCCCGCGUGUGCGAUGAAGGCCUUCAGUUAUGUAAAGCACUUUGGCAGGAAAGAAACGGCACGGGAUAAUACCCCGUGCAACUGACGGUACCUGCAGAAUAAGCACCGGCUAACUACGUGCCAGCAGCCGCGGUAAUACGUAGGGUGCAAGCGUUAAUCGGAAUUACUGGGCGUAAAGCGUGCGCAGGCGGUUCGGAAAGAAAGAUGUGAAAUCCCAGAGCUUAACUUUGGAACUGCAUUUUUAACUACCGAGCUAGAGUGUCAGGGAAGUGGAAUUCCCGCGUCGCUAGCAGUGAUGCGUGAAUAUGCGGAGGAACACCGAUGGCGAAGGCAGCUCGCAGGAUAACGGCGCUCAUGCACGAAAGCGUGGGGAGCAAACAGGAUUAGAUACCCUGGUAGUCCACGCCCUAAACGAUGUCAACUAGCUGUUGGGGCCUUCGGGCCUUGGUAGCGCAGCUAACGGCGUAGAGAUUGACCGCGCAAGUACGGUCGCAAGAUUAAAACUCAAAGGAAUUGACGGGGACCCGCACAAGCGGUGGAUAGUGCCGGGUUAAAUUCGAUGCAACGCGAAAAACCUUACCUACCCUUGACAUGUCUGGAAUCCCGAAGAGAUUUGGGAGUGCUCGCAAGAGAACCGGAACACAGGUGCUGCAUGGCUGUCGUCAGCUCGUGUCGUGAGAUGUUGGGUUAAGUCCGCAACGAGCGCAACCCUUGUCAUUAGUUGCUACGAAAGGGCACUCUAAUGAGACUGCCGGUCGGUGACAAACCGGAGGAAGGUGGGGAUGACGUCAAGUCUCAUGGCCCUUAUGGGUAGGGCUUCACACGUCAUACAAUGGUCGGGACAGAGGGUCGCCAACCCGCGAGGGGAGCCAAUCCCAGAAACCCGAUCGUAGUCCGGAUCGCAGUCUGCAACUCGACUGCGUGAAGUCGGAAUCGCUAUUAAUCGCGGAUCAGCAUGUCGCGGUGAAUACGUUCCCGGGUCUUGUACACACCGCCCGUCACACCAUGGGAGUGGGUUUUACCAGAAGUAGUUAGCCUAACCGUAAGGAGGGCGAUUACCACGGUAGGAUUCAUGACUGGGGUGAAGUCGUAUUUCAUUAG
rnacentral:rRNA from 1 species